rnacentral:rRNA from 1 species
GCUUACACAUGCAAGUCGAGCGGUGGGCACGGUAGCUCUGCGUCCCGGACCUGACGACGGACGGAUGAGUAAUGCUUGUGAGGCUGCCUGUCAGUGGGGGAGGACUACCUACAGGGGACGCUAACACCGCCCACAUCCUACCGGAGAAACCAAGGGAGCUACCGACCUGGCGCUAGCCGAUAAACCUGACUCGGAUUAACUAGUUGGUGGGGUAAGGGCCUACCCAGGCGACCAUCUAUACCGGGUCUGAGAGGAAGAUCCACCACACUGGGACUGAGACACGGCCCAUACACCCACCGGAGGCAGCAGUGGGGAAUAUUGGACGAUGGGGGGAACCCUGAUCCAGCCAUGCCUCGUGUGUGAAGAAGGCCUUAUGGUUGUUUAGCACUUUAUUCGAGGAGGAGGCUACGUUAGUUAAUACCUAGAGAUAGUGGACGUUACUCGCAGAAUAAGCACCGGCUAACUCUGUGCCAGCAGCCGCGGUAAUACUACAGGGUGCGAGCGUUAAUCGGAUUUACUGGGCGUAAAGCGUGCGUACGCGGCUUAUUAAGUCGGAUGUGAAAUCCCCCAGCUUAACUUGGGAAUUGCAUUCUAUACUGGUGAGCUAGAGUAUGGGAGAGGAUGGUAGAAUUCCCCGUGUGGCGCUGAAAUGCGUAGAGAUCUGGAGGAAUACCGAUGGCGAAAGCGGCCCUCUCGCCUAAUACUGACACUCAUGUACGAAAACAUGUGGGAGCACACAGGAUUAGAUACCCUGGUGGUCCAUGCUGUACACGAUAUCUACUAGCCGUUGGGGCCUCUCAGGGUGUAGUGGCGCAGCUCACACCAAUAAGUACACCGCCCGGGGAGUAAGGUCGCGCGACUAAAACUCAAAUGUAUUUACCGGGGCC